CCUGUUGGAUUUCUGCCUGCUCUAUUUCUAUUACAGGAAGCUAUUCUGUAAUAGAAACAUAGCAGGCAGAAAUCCAACAGC
rnacentral:miRNA from 1 species